rnacentral:rRNA from 1 species
AACGAACGCUGGCGGCAUGCCUAACACAUGCAAGUCGAACGAACCCUUCGGGGUUAGUGGCGCACGGGUGCGUAACGCGUGGGAAUUUGCCCUUUGCUUCGGAAUAACAGUUAGAAAUGACUGCUAAUACCGGAUGAUGUCUUCGGACCAAAGAUUUAUCGGCAAGGGAUGAGCCCGCGUAGGAUUAGGUAGUUGGUGGGGUAAAGGCCUACCAAGCCGACGAUCCUUAGCUGGUCUGAGAGGAUGAUCAGCCACACUGGGACUGAGACACGGCCCAGACUCCUGCGGGAGGCAGCAGUGGGGAAUAUUGGACAAUGGGCGCAAGCCUGAUCCAGCAAUGCCGCGUGAGUGAUGAAGGCCUUCGGGUCGUAAAGCUCUUUUACCAGGGAUGAUAAUGACAGUACCUGGAGAAUAAGCUCCGGCUAACUCCGUGCCAGCCGCCGCCGUAACAC